rnacentral:rRNA from 1 species
UAAUACGGAGGAUGCAAGCGUUAUCCGGAUUCAUUGGGUUUAAAGGGUGCGCAGGCGGAUUGGUAAGUCAGUGGUGAAAUUCUAGUGCUUAACAUUAGACCUGCCAUUGAUACUGUCAGUCUAGAGUAUAGUUGGAGUGGGCGGAAUGUGUCAUGUAGCGGUGAAAUGCUUAGAUAUGACACAGAACACCGAUCGCGAAGGCAGCUCACUAAGCUAAAACUGACGCUCAUGCACGAAAGCGUGGGGAUCAAACAGGAUUAGAUACCCUGGUAGUCCACGCUGUAAACGAUGAUUACUCGAUGUUGGCGAUACACAGUCAGCGUCUGAACGAAAGUAUUAAGUAAUCCACCUGGGGAGUACGUUCGCAAGGAUGAAACUCAAAGGAAUUGACGG